ACGCUCGACACCUACGGGCAGCAGUGGGGAAUAUUGGGCAAUGGGCGAAAGCCUGACCCAGCAACGCCGCGUGAGGGAAGAAGGUUUUCGGAUUGUAAACCUCUGUCCUCAGGGACGAAGGACGUGACGGUACCUGAGGAGGAAGCCCCGGCUAACUACGUGCCCGNNCGCGUAGUNUNGCGGCGUGNGAGAG
rnacentral:rRNA from 1 species